AGAUUUCCCUUUUAUUGUCAAAGUGGAGGCUAAAACCUGGAUGCUAACUUCAGCUGCAUCUAAGUUUUAAGGUGUAACGGAUAAAUAAAGAAAAAUACAACAACUGUCGUAAAACUGUUAUUUUCUACACUGAAAAAAGUAAACCAUUGCUGUCAUCAGUUUGAUGCAUUUCUACUCAUUGCAUUAAUAUAAAAAUUUUAAUUUACUCUCUUGAACUCAAUUUUUAUAAGUUAUGCAAUGUGUCUUUGUUUUUUUUUACUUCACUUUAAUGUAAAUGAUAACAGGGUACAAAAGUAAAAUUUUUUCGUUUUGUGAAAGCACAAUUAUUAGGUUGAGUUUGAUGUGCGCAUGCGCACUAAAUGAAAUGCAAAUUUGGCGGGCCGUAUUUCUGCCAUAAUCUGAACUGCUUCUCAGAGCGACAACUCGACAAGUAAGGUAAAACAACAUCAACAAAAAUUAUUGUAUAUUAAUUAGUUCAGUCGUUUUCUCCUUGUACAUUUAAAUGAGGAUUUCCUUCACUGCCUGGACACAAUUUUCAGACGACGUUAGUCGGUCCACUACCCCCAGCAGCAGUAAGUUUGUUUGGAAAGGAGGAACUAACCGCCGCCCGGAGACCGACAGCAGCAGCUUAAAGACACUCUUCGGUUUCUGCUCUGCAUCCUGUCUGGAAGCCUUUGACUAACUUUUGUUACUCAUCGACGUGGAAAUUUAAAGACUGUGCCCAUACUUAUUCAAGACGAUCUGAACUCCUAAAACAUUACAAACUGGACCAUCAUCAUCCAUGUUCUCUGAUUUCAUUUUCAGAUAAAUGCAGACUUCUUGAGAGUUACAACAAUUACUUUGGAGGCAAAGUUUUUUGCACAGUUGGACAAACACUCCACCAAACUUCUAGAGGUCAUCAGGAGCAAUGGAGGGCGUGUGAAAGAGCAGACCACCAACAUCUUAGAAGUUCUGGAUGAAGGAUUGUUGACAUUACCAUCAGAGGAGAAGCCAUCCUAAAAUCUCUGAUGAUCUGCUUGGGUGAAUCUUUUGAGCACCUCAUUAAAGAACACCAGAACGGUCUGGACAGUGAUGCUCCGCAGAUUGAAACCAUGGCGAUCUUUUUCACUGGGAGAGAGGAUCUUCUCCGUCCACCAACAGACAUCAAGAUAGUGAUGGAUGGAAAACAGGUUCUGAAUGAAGUGCCCUAUAUUUCAACCGCUUUUCUCAUGUUCUUGGAACUGACAUAUUCACUCAACCUAAAAUUUCCCAAAAAUCUGCAGUACACUUUUGAAUUCAUUCAAAAAGUCCUCAUGGAGCUUGGUGGGAAAAAGUGUCGCCAAAAGUUUUCAGACUGAACAGCCAGCUUAAGUUGGUGUCAAUUAAUGUUUUUUUUCCCUCACUUAAGUGUAUUGGUAUUGGGAAACAGUUUUGAUGUUUAUACAUCUUAAAGAUGUCAUGUUUGUAAAUUUGGAUGUGGAUAUGUUCAUGGAACAAUAAAUAUUGUUUACAUGAA